rnacentral:rRNA from 1 species
UACAGAGGGGGCAAGCGUUGUUCGGAAUUACUGGGCGUAAAGGGCGCGUAGGCGGCCUUCUAAGUCGAACGUGAAAUCCCUGGGCUCAACCCAGGAACUGCGUCCGAUACUGGAAGGCUUGAAUCCGGGAGAGGGAUGCGGAAUUCCAGGUGUAGCGGUGAAAUGCGUAGAUAUCUGGAGGAAUACCGGUGGCGAAGGCGGCAUCCUGGACCGGCAUUGACGCUGAGGAGCGAAAGCGUGGGGAGCGAACAGG